UAGUGGUGGGGAUAACGUUCGGAAACGGACGCUAAUACCGCAUACGUCCUACGGGAGAAAGCGGGGGAUCUUCGGACCUCGCGCCAUUAGAUGAGCCUAGGUCGGAUUAGCUAGUUGGUGAGGUAAUGGCUCACCAAGGCGACGAUCCGUAACUGGUCUGAGAGGAUGAUCAGUCACACUGGAACUGAGACACGGUCCAGACUCCUACGGGAGGCAGCAGUGGGGAAUAUUGGACAAUGGGCGAAAGCCUGAUCCAGCCAUGCCGCGUGUGUGAAGAAGGUCUUCGGAUUGUAAAGCACUUUAAGUUGGGAGGAAGGGUAGUAACCUAAUACGUUGCUACUUUGACAUUACCGACAGAAUAAGCACCGGCUAACUUCGUG
rnacentral:rRNA from 1 species